GACGGGUGAGUAACGCGUGGGUAACCUGCCCUGUACACACGGAUAACAUACCGAAAGGUAUGCUAAUACGAGAUAAUAUGCUUUUAUCGCAUGGUAGAAGUAUCAAAGCUUUUGCGGUACAGGAUGGACCCGCGUCUGAUUAGCUAGUUGGUAAGGUAACGGCUUACCAAGGCGACGAUCAGUAGCCGACCUGAGAGGGUGAUCGGCCACAUUGGAACUGAGACACGGUCCAAACUCCUACGGGAGGCAGCAGUGGGGAAUAUUGCACAAUGGGCGAAAGCCUGAUGCAGCAACGCCGCGUGAGCGAUGAAGGCCUUCGGGUCGUAAAGCUCUGUCCUCAAGGAAGAUAAUGACGGUACUUGAGGAGGAAGCCCCGGCUAACUACGUGCCAGCAGCCGCGGUAAUACGUAGGGGGCUAGCGUUAUCCGGAAUUACUGGGCGUAAAGGGUGCGUAGGUGGUUUCUUAAGUCAGAGGUGAAAGGCUACGGCUCAACCGUAGUAAGCCUUUGAAACUGGGAAACUUGAGUGCAGGAGAGGAGAGUGGA
rnacentral:rRNA from 1 species